AUUAUGAUUGAUGUGUUGGGUUUUGAUUAUGCAGCAGAAGGUUGGAUUUCAAAAUAUUUAUAAAAUCUUAGAAUACUCAAAAUCCUAAACCCCAGGAUCCUUUUUGAUGCAUUCAACCAAAAUAAUAAACUAUGAUAAAAUAAAGCAUAUAAUUUUAUAGAUACCUCAAUCAUUAUUUUUAGUAUCUCCAUAAGGUACAUAAGUAUAUACCCUCCAAUGAUGAUCCACAUAGA
rnacentral:lncRNA from 1 species